rnacentral:rRNA from 1 species
UACGUAGGGACCGAGCGUUGUCCGGAAUCAUUGGGCGUAAAGCGCACGUAGGCGGUUCGUUAUGUCGGAUGUGAAAGCCCUUGGCUUAACCGAGGAAGUGCAUCCGAAACUGGCGAGCUAGAGUACUAAAGAGGAUCGCGGAAUUCCCGGUGUAGAGGUGAAAUUCGUAGAUAUCGGGAGGAACACCGGUGGCGAAGGCGGCGAUCUGGGUAGAUACUGACGCUGAGGUGCGAAAGCGUGGGGAGCAAACAGG